UACGUAGGAGGCAAGCGUUGUCCGGAUUUAUUGGGCGUAAAGCGCUCGCAGGUGGUUCGAUGCGUCGUGCGUGAAAGACCCCGGCUCAACUGGGGAGGGUCGUGCGAUACGGUCGAACUGGAGGCCAGUAGGGGGAUGCGGAAUUCCGGGUGUAGUGGUGGAAUGCGUAGAGAUCCGGAGGAACACCAGCGGCGAAGGCGGCAUCCUGGACUGGUCCUGACACUCAUGAGCGAAAGCGUGGGGAGCGAUCCGG
rnacentral:rRNA from 1 species